CCUACGGGUGGCAGCAGUGAGGAAUAUUGGUCAAUGGACGAGAGUCUGAACCAGCCAAGUAGCGUGAAGGAUGACUGCCCUAUGGGUUGUAAACUUCUUUUAUAUGGGAAUAAAAUGUUCCACGUGUGGGAUUUUGUAUGUACCAUAUGAAUAAGGAUCGGCUAACUCCGUGCCAGCAGCCGCGGUAAUACGGAGGAUCCGAGCGUUAUCCGGAUUUAUUGGGUUUAAAGGGAGCGUAGGUGGAUGGUUAAGUCAGUUGUGAAAGUUUGCGGCUCAACCGUAAAAUUGCAGUUGAAAAUGGCAGUCUUGAGUACAGUAGAGGUGGGCGGAAUUCGUGGUGUAGCGGUGAAAUGCUUAGAUAUCACGAAGAACUCCGAUUGCGAAGGCAGUUCACUGGACUGCAACUGACACUGAGGCUCGAAAGUGUGGGUAUCAAACAGGAUUAGAUACCCGGGUAGUC
rnacentral:rRNA from 1 species